CCUACGGUGGGCAGCAGUGAGGAAUAUUGGUCAAUGGGCUUACGCCUGAACCAGCCAAGUCGCGUGAGGGAAGACUGCCCUAUGGGUUGUAAACCUCUUUUGUCAGGGAGCAACGCCGGCUACGCGUAGCCGGACUGAGAGUACCUGAAGAAAAAGCAUCGGCUAACUCCGUGCCAGCAGCCGCGGUAAUACGGAGGAUGCGAGCGUUAUCCGGAUUUAUUGGGUUUAAAGGGUGCGUAGGCGGAAUGCCAAGUCAGCGGUAACAUGUCGGGGCUCAACCUCGCUCCGCCGUUGCAACUGGCGUUCUUGAGUGGGCGAGAAGUAUGCGGAAUGCGUGGUGUAGCGGUGAAAUGCAUAGAUAUCACGCAGAACUCCGAUUGCGAAGGCAGCAUACCGGCGCCCAACUGACGCUGAAGCACGAAAGCGUGGGGAGCAAACAGGAUUAGAUACCCUAGUAGUC
rnacentral:rRNA from 1 species